rnacentral:rRNA from 1 species
GGAGUUUGAUUUUGGCUCCAGGAUUAAACGCUAGCGAUAGGCCUAACACAUGCAAGUCGAGGGGCAGCACAUGAAGUAGCAAUACGGAUGGUGGCGACCGGCGCACGGGUGAGUAACGCGUAUGCAACCUGCCUACAACAGGGGAAUAACCCGUUGAAAGACGGACUAAUACCCCAUAACACAGGGAUCCCGCAUGGGAAUAUUUGUUAAAGAUUUAUCGGUUGUAGAUGGGCAUGCGUUCCAUUAGCUUGUUGGUGAGGUAACGGCUCACCAAGGCAACGAUGGAUAGGGGAACUGAGAGGUUUAUCCCCCACACUGGUACUGAGACACGGACCAGACUCCUACGGGAGGCAGCAGUGAGGAAUAUUGGUCAAUGGACGCAAGUCUGAACCAGCCACGUCGCGUGAAGGAAGACGGCCCUACGGGUUGUAAACUUCUUUUGUAAGGGAAUAAAGUGUAGUACGUGUACUAUUUUGCAUGUACCUUACGAAUAAGGAUCGGCUAACUCCGUGCCAGCAGCCGCGGUAAUACGGAGGAUCCGAGCGUUAUCCGGAUUUAUUGGGUUUAAAGGGUGCGCAGGCGGGAGAUUAAGUCGGCGGUGAAAUUUUGCAGCUCAACUGUAAAAGUGCCUUCGAAACUGGUUUCCUUGAAUGUGGAUGAAGUAGGCGGAAUUUGUGGUGUAGCGGUGAAAUGCAUAGAUAUCACGAGGAACUCCGAUUGCGCAGGCAGCUUACUAAACCAUAACUGACGCUCAGGCACGAAGGCGUGGGGAUCAAACAGGAUUAGAUACCCUGGUAGUC